rnacentral:lncRNA from 1 species
UCUGUUUACAUUCAUCCCCGUCUGAAUUCAUGCCGGUCUGAAGUCAGUCGGUUCGGUUCAGCAGGCGGAAUGACUUGAGACCGGUCUGAGUUCUUUUCGUCCCGGUCUCAUGUAAACAUCUAUUAUAAAUAAUACUGUGACCGAAACGAAAUGGUCCCGGUUUGACUUCGUUCCGGUCUAAUGUAAACAGGGCCUUAGAUGAGGAAAGUGACAAAUUUCUUUUUCACUAACAAAGCGACAAGAUAUUACAAAGAAUCAAACAGCAAUUUCCAAUCGUCGUUCUAUUUCGAAAGACAAAACUCUGGCAAAGCUUUUCUUGUACACAUCCUGCCUCAUGACCCUGUCUAAACUGUUGCGUUGCUGCACUUGUUAUGCGUGUGCACGAAGGCAGUAUAUAUAGAAUAUAUAUAGAACCAUGCAAUAACCAUACACUCAAAUGUUCCUUUUUUUUCCAGAUCGGUUAUCAAAUUCAGAAGCUGACGAAUUUCGAAAGUACAGUUUUUGCAGAGAAAAUCAUCGUUAUAAACUUUCUUUCAAGCUAUCAAAGUCUACUGAAAAGACAAUAGAUCGAAUUUGUAAAUAUACUGAACAUUUAGACCGCCAGGAUUUAUGCCGGAUUUCAUUGUACCCAGAACAAAAAAACAAACAAACAAUGGCCUGGAUACAAGUAUCUACAGCCUGUUCGCAGGCAAACAAGAAGGAACAGUACCUGAAAAUAGACAUUUCUGUGACCUUUGUAUGUCCAUCAACUGAAUAUCCAUUACGGGGCCAUAUUUAUCCAUCAUAGUUUCUUUGUAUCCAUUUAUUAUAUAGUCACAAAUAUCCACUGCUGGCCAUGAACAUUUAUCAAUCCUUUCAUUUCAUCCGAGAACUACUGUCUUUGGUGUAUUGUUGUAAUUUGAUUAGAAAUAGAGGUAUUCCCUCAUGUAUUGCUCUUCGAGGCAUGUCAUCUUGGUAACAUGAUAUUUUAUAAAUCAAUAUUUCAUCAGCACGUUCAAGUAAUGAUCUGUAAAACAAAGCAAAAAAAUUUUUUAAAAAUUCAGAUAUAAAACUUAAACCAUUUUGCUACAAAAAACAAAUUUAACCAUUAGGUUGUACUGUGCCCUGAUGCAUGCUCUACUUGAGUAUUUUACUGUCCAACGCUAGACGAUUUUAUGCUUCAUAAUGAGACUGCCCAUGUGUCUAGUUACCCAUUAAUUAACUGCCAGUGUACCCCCUGCUUAAUAAAAUUGUAUGACGUUAGACAGAGUUAAAUAAUAAAAGUUGGAAAAUUAG